rnacentral:rRNA from 1 species
CCUACGGGAGGCAGCAGUGGGGAAUAUUGGGCAAUGGGCGCAAGCCUGACCCAGCAACGCCGCGUGAAGGAUGAAGGCUUUCGGGUUGUAAACUUCUUUUGUCAGGGAAGAGUAGAAGACGGUACCUGACGAAUAAGCCACGGCUAACUACGUGCCAGCAGCCGCGGUAAUACGUAGGUGGCAAGCGUUGUCCGGAUUUAGUGGGUGUAAAGGGCGUGUGGCCGGGUUGACAAGUCAGAUGUUAAAUCCUGCGGCUUAACCGCAGAACUGCAGUUGAAACUGGUGAUCUUGAGUACUGGAGAGGCAGACGGAAUUCCUGGUGUAGCGGUGAAAUGCGUAGAUAUCAGGAGGAACACCAGUGGCGAAGGCGGUCUGCUGGACAGCAACUGACGGUGAGGCGCGAAAGCGUGGGGAGCAAACAGGAUUAGAUACCCGGGUAGUC